GGUAGGGUGGCCGAGCAGGUGGUGGAUUGUAGCUCCAUGCACAGAGGUUCAAGCCCUCUUCCUAUCA
rnacentral:tRNA from 1 species